UACAGAGGUCCCGAGCGUUGUUCGGAUUUACUGGGCGUAAAGGGUGCGUAGGUGGCAGGGUAAGUUCGGUGUGAAAGCUUCGAGCUCAACUCGGAAACGGCAUUGAAAACUAUCCUGCUUGAGGGUCGGAGGGGAGACUGGAAUUCUCGGUGUAGCAGUGAAAUGCGUAGAUAUCGAGAGGAACACAAGUGGCGAAGGCGGGUCUCUGGACGAUUCCUGACACUGAGGCACGAAAGCUAGGGGAGCAAACAGG
rnacentral:rRNA from 1 species